rnacentral:lncRNA from 1 species
CUCUUUUCUUUCCUUUCUUUUUCUCUUCUUGCCUUCCUUUUUAAAAAUUUGUAUUUAAUUUUUUUGGCCUUCCCGUGCCUUCCUUUGCCUUUCCACGAAGCUGAAUUCCACCCUCGACUAAUCAUUCGUCUCGUCCAGGAAACAACGAACUACUAAAAAACAACAAACUACUAUUUGUCCUUGAUUCCAAAUUGGCUCAGAAGGACCCUGGGAGCCACAUGAAUAUGAAGUAUUGUUUCUCCCUAUGGAAAUUGGAGCAGAGCAUCCACUGGGCUCUUUGCUUGAAAGGUCUCCGUUGCACUCUUAGUUUGGUGACACUCUGAGGAACAAAGAUGAACAUUCAGGUGAGUAGGUACAGCUUUGGAUUCUAAGCCUUUCCUAAUGGAGAAAUUCUUCUCAUUAGAUCAUCCCAAGACACAAGGAACUGAUCUCAUUGCUUAACGAAUGUUCUCAAUUUGAUUCAGUGCACCUGGGAAAUAACAUUUCUAUUUGCUGCCAAAAUGUGAUUGCAUUAAACCUUAAUAAUGUACCUGUCAUGGGGGUUAGACAGAAUAUUUUAAUUGAAUGUCAGCUAUACCACUGGA